GCUUGCCAUCUCAAAUCUCAGCUGAUACCUACUUGUACUCAUCACCUCCUCCUCCCAAGAAGCCCUAUUAUUAUCACUCUCCUCCACCACCUUCACCUCCUCCACCUAAGCCAUACUACUAUCAUUCACCACCACCACCUUCACCUCCUCCACCCAAGCCAUACUACUAUCACUCACCACCACCACCUUCACCUCCUCCACCUAAACCAUACUACUAUCACUCACCACCACCACCUUCACCUCCUCCACCUAAACCAUACUACUAUCACUCACCACCACCACCUUCACCUCCUCCACCUAAACCAUACUACUAUCACUCACCACCACCACCUUCACCUCCUCCACCUAAGUCAUAUUACUAUCACUCACCACCACCACCACCCAAAAAGAAGCCAUACUACUACCAUUCUCCCCCACCACCUUCACCACCUCCUCCUAAGCCAUACUACUAUCACUCUCCCCCACCGCCUUCACCUCCUCCACCUACGCCAUACUACUAUCAUUCUCCCCCACCACCCUCACCACCUCCACCUAAGCCAUACUACUACCAUUCACCACCACCCCCACCGAAGAAGAAGCCUUACUACUACCACUCUCCACCACCACCUUCACCUCCUCCUCCAAAGAAGCCAUACUACUACCACUCCCCACCUCCUCCCAAGAAGCCCUACAAAUAUUCAUCUCCCCCACCUCCAGUGCACCCUUACCCUCAUCCUCACCCCCAUCCCCAUCCACACCCCCACCCUCACCCUCCCUACGUUUACAAAUCUCCUCCCCCACCCCCUAAGAAGCCAUACAAGUACCCAUCCCCACCACCUCCAGUCCACGUUUACCCUCACCCUCACCCGCAUCCACACCCUCACCCUCAACCUCACCCCCAUCCACAACCCCACCCUCCCUACAUUUAUCAGUCUCCUCCACCACCCCCUAAGAAGCCUUACAAGUACCCAUCGCCUCCACCUCCCGUCCACCCAUACCCCCAUCCCCACCCUCUUCCUCAUCCCCACCCUCAC
rnacentral:lncRNA from 1 species